rfam:Neotoma lepida isolate 417 scaffold_4305, whole genome shotgun sequence.
UAAGGUAGCUGCCUUGUAGGACAUGAAGCUAACUAUUUAGGUGGAAUAAAAUUGUCAUCAGGAGUCCUGGACUCUCUGUGGGUUGAGCCUGUGUUUGGAGCCCCAAGCUUGUCUCUGGUCCAAGAGGGCGUCCAGCUAGCUGUUGGGGGCAGGNAACAGCUAGGAAUUGGGGGUGAGAACUCCUUACG